ACGGGUGAGUAACACGUUGGAACUGCCCCAAAGUGAGGAAUAAGCCACCCGAAAAGGUGGUCUAAUACUUCAUAAUAUCCAUCUCGUAUGGAUUAAAGCUUUAUGCGCUUUGGGAGGGGCCUGCGUAACAUUAGCUUGUUGGUGAGGUAAAAGCUCACCAGGGCUUCGAUGUUUAACUGGUUUGAGAGGAUGACCAGUCACACUGGGACUGAGAUACGGCCCAGACUCCUACGGGAGGCAGCAGUAAGGAAUCUUCCACAAUGGGGCAACCCUGAUGGAGCAAUACCGCGUGCAGGAUGAAGCGUUUCGGCGUGUAAACUGCUUUUAUCACCGAAGAUUAUGACUGUAGGUGAAGAAUAAGGACCGGCUAACUACGUG
rnacentral:rRNA from 1 species